GGGAGAGGUGCAGGCACAGGGAGGAAGGGGUGUGUGUGCACUCCCGUGAGCACCUGCAGCCCUGCAGAAGCAGACGGCGUGGCGGCCAGACAGAUCCCCGGCCGGACAGAUCCCCCACCGGCUGCGAGGCAUGCGCGCCCGGCUGAGGCCACGCGUGGUCUCUGUGCGCGAAUGAGCGACAGCGCGGUCCCCGUCCUCUGAGAUCCCACGUCCCCCUGGGCAGGGACCUCUCCGCGGCUCCCAAGCCCUGUCUGCGGGGACCCAAAUCCCGCUCUGUCACCCUGUGGUGCUCACGGCUCCACCUGUCGUCCCACAUGGUUCUUACUUGUCCCCGCUCUUCUCUCUACGGGCUCCUGCAAUUCUCCUGCUGAGACUCAGGGUCGAGUGUUAGGAUUGACACCUUGGCUGCUCACUCCUCCAGCGCAUCCUCAGCGAGGACGUCCCCCAUUGCAGAAACACCCGACAGGCUAGCCUUCAGUUAAGGGAAGGAGCCACCUUUGGGACACAGCACAAGCCCCUCGGUGCUGCUUGGCGCUGGCAUCCUUCCACAGGGCAGCCACGUACACUAGUCUUACAGAGUGACUCUGGUCUCCAACAAUUGACAGAAAAUCUCCAGACUCUUCACUGCUUUCAGAUCCUCCAAGUGCUUCCAAUACCUCUCCAGCCUGAGUUUCUCAUGACAGUCGAUCUACUAAAGCCACCCAGUGUGAGUGGCCCAUGGCAUUAACAUGACCUCUGAAUCCCACUUUCCUCCUGCCCCAACCUAUUGUCAGGCAUAGAGUAGAAUCUCAAAAAAUACAUCCGAAUUACUUUAAAUACAUCGAAUUACUCGAUGGAAGUGUGGUCAUCUGGAUUGCCAGAGGCACCUUUCUUCUGCCCACAUCACUCAUCCCUCUCACCUUCAUUCACUCAUAAACCCCCUCUGUUGUUCCCUUAAACACGCUAAACAGAAACAUAUUGUUUUUAAUAAUUGCAUUAUCUGAAGUCCUGUGGGUCCAAUUCUGCUGUCUGUUGUUUCUGUUCACACAGUAACUUCUUUUUCUUGUUACUUUUUUAAUUAAUUAGUUAAUUUAUUUAUUUAUUUAUUUUUGACAAUAAGCUUAUAUGCCUUGGAAAUUUAUCCUUGGGAAUUCUUUGAGACCAGAGUUGAAGACCUGCUCACCAUCAAGAUUCUUGAAUUUGCUUCUUCCGUGUACCUGGAGGCACAUCAACCUAAGACAAAUC
rnacentral:lncRNA from 12 species